ACUCAGUGAAGGUCUGUAUUUUACAUCCUGCAGAAACACCUACCACUCUCAGGCCUCACUUCACACUCAAACUCAGUGAAGGUCUGUAUUUUACAUCCUGCAGAAACACCUACCACUCUCAGGCCUCACUUCCCACUCAAACUCAGUGAAGGUCUGUAUUUUACAUCCUGCAGAAACACCUACCACUCUCAGGCCUCACUUCACACUCAAACUCAGUAAAGGUCUGUAUUUUACAUCCUGCAGAAACACCUACCACUCUCAGGUACUGACUGAAUCUUGGAAGAUAUUCCACCUCAUUUAUUCUUGAAUUGCUACCAUAUUCUUAUGUGUUACCAUUUAUACCUGUAGUUUGCCACUGUAAUUCUCUGUGCAUGCAGUAUACCUAACUAUAACUGUUCAAUCUCAUUCUCUGUUCGUCAGGCCUCACUUAACACUCAAACUCUGUGAAGGACUGCAUUUUUUUUCUCUCAACAUUUCCCACCCAGAUUCCCCCUAAAUAUAUAGCAUGCUCCUCCAGCUGUUUGAGAUUCUCACCCAAUUACCUCUUCAUUCCCUUUACAUUUUACCAAUAGCUGCUUCUCUCUGUUUCCUUAUUUAGCCAUCACCCCCAAACUUCCCCUGCUGCCGUUUGUCUCAAAUCCCCAUGGUAUCCUUUAGAUUGUAAGCUCACGGGCCAUAUAGCCAAGCACUUUGUAUUAAAGAGCUCCAAUGGCUAGAUAUCAGCUUACAGGCUCGGCUCUCUCUACCUCUUGUAUUUGUCUCCAGUCAUUGUACAGCGCUGCGGAAUCUGUUGGUGCUUUAUAAAUACCAGUAAUAAAAUAAAUUAACUGAAGGCCCUUUCUGUCCUUUAAACAAUGAUAUACAGUUGUUCUCAAAACUUUGCAUACCCUUGGAGAAUUGGUAACGUGUAGCAUUUCUAGAGGAAAAUGAAUGAGCAGGCAAACCACAUCUCCUGGCUAACCAUGGCAGCAUCACUAAUGGGUAGCACCGCUCCUAACCAGAUCAGGAUAGGAUAAACCAAUACAAAGAGAGAAUGAGGCUGGAGGCAUAAAAGGUCCCUCCUCCUUCCUUAGCUCAGUCUUUUCCUGUCCUUAACCGGACAAGAGCGGUUUAUAUUUAUAUAAGUGGUGGGCAGAAUACACUAGCCCUGAGGAGUGGAAAAAAUGGAUAGAGAAAGGAUAGAAACAAACACGUAGGAAAUUUCUACUAGUAAAAGAAAGCCCCCAUAAAAGCUAAGAGAAAUAAAUAAAUGGUGGUAGGUGGAAAAGCCUACACGUACUAGGAGAUCUCUUACCAGAUGCUACAAACUAUUAAAUAAUCUAAGCAGAAAAUUAAAAAAAAACUAUAAAAAAAACAAAUUUCAAUAAGAACCACUUAUCGGCGGAGCCAAUCAACGGAACGGAGCGGUCACACCUAAGCCGAGCUCUGCAAUACUAGGCCUAAUUUUCGAGCUACAAACAAGUUACCCCAAACAAUUCGGUGCCAACUGGACACCAGCAUACACCAUAAUGGGACGAAAAACAAAAAACCAGAAGGCGGACAAGCCUAGAAUGGGCAUGAACAUUGGGGACCUGUGGCGGCAAGCACAUGAGACCUCGCAAUCUAAGAUUGCGUUCUACCUCGAAGAAAGCUCAGACUUCUCGGACAACCAAACUCCGGAGAUUGCGGAUUUCAUCACACCAGCAUAACAGGGGCCAAAACAGGCGCCAGCACUAACCUCACCAAAG